rnacentral:tRNA from 1 species
GCCGAAGUGGUGAAAUUGGUAGACACGCUACCUUGAGGGGGUAGUGCUCUUUGGGCGUGCCGGUUCAAGUCCGGCCUUCGGCACCA